rnacentral:rRNA from 1 species
AUUGAACGCUGGCGGCAGGCCUAACACAUGCAAGUCGAGCGAGCGGCGGACGGGUGAGUCAUGUAUGGGGACUGCUCGACAGAGGGGGUUAACUACUGGAAAUGGUUGCUAAUACCGCAUACUGUCGGAUAACCCCUAUGGGAUGAGCUAGUAGGUAAGGUAAUGUCUUACCUAGGCGACGAGCCCUAGCUGGUCUGAGAGGAGGAUCAGCGACACGGGAACUGAGAAAAGGCCCAGACGACUACGGAGGGAGCAGUGGAGAAGAUUGCACAAUGGGCGCAAGCCAGCUGCAGCGAUGCCGGGUGGGUGAGGAGGGCACUAAGGUUGAAAAGUACUUUCGGUCGGGAGGCGUUACCGACUGAAGAAGAACCGGCUGACUCCGUGCCAGCAGCCGCGGUAAUUC